rnacentral:rRNA from 1 species
UGAGCAAUCUGCCCUUCUCAUCGGAAUAAGCGUUGGAAACGACGUUUAAUGCCGAAUACGACCUCCUUUCGCAUGAUCGGAGGUGGAAAGCUCCGGCGGAGAAGGAUGAGCUCGCGGCCUAUCAGCUAGUUGGUGUGGGUAAUGGCCCACCAAGGCGACGACGGGUAGCUGGUCUGAGAGGAUGGCCAGCCACAUUGGGACUGAGACACGGCCCAGAUCCUACGGG